GCAUUAUACGGCGAAACUGCGAAUGGCUCAUUAUAUAAGUUAUCGUUUAUUUGAUAGUACCUUACUACUUGGAUAACCGUGGUAAUUCUAGAGCUAAUACAUGCUUAAAAUCCCGACUUCGGAAGGGAUGUAUUUAUUAGAUUAAAAACCAAUGCCCUUCGGGGCUCUCUGGUGAUUCAUGAUAACUUCUCGAAUCGCAUGGCCUUGCGCCGGCGAUGGUUCAUUCAAAUUUCUUCCCUAUCAACUUUCGAUGUUUGGGUAUUGGCCAAACAUGGUUGCAACGGGUAACGGAGGGUUAGGGCUCGACCCCGGAGAAGGAGCCUGAGAAACGGCUACUACAUCCAAGGAAGGCAGCAGGCGCGCAAAUUACCCAAUCCCGACUCGGGGAGGUAGUGACAAUAAAUACUGAUACAGGGUUCUUUUGGAUCUUGUAAUUGGAAUGAGUACAAUUUAAAUCCCUUAACGAGGAACAAUUGGAGGGCAAGUCUGGUGCCAGCAGCCGCGGUAAUUCCAGCUCCAAUAGCGUAUAUUAAAGUUGUUGUGGUUAAAAAGCUCGUAGUUGAACCUUGGGCCUGGCUGGCCGGUCCGCCUCACCGCGUGUACUGGUCCGGCCGGGCCUUUCCCUCUGUGGAACCCUAUGCCCUUCACUGGGUGUAGCGGGGAAACAGGACUUUUACUUUGAAAAAAUUAGAGUGCUCCAGGCAGGCCUUUGCUCGAAUACAUUAGCAUGGAAUAAUAAAAUAGGACGUGUGGUUCUAUUUUGUUGGUUUCUAGGACCGCCGUAAUGAUUAAUAGGGACAGUCGGGGGCAUCAGUAUUCAAUUGUCAGAGGUGAAAUUCUUGGAUUUAUUGAAGACUAACUACUGCGAAAGCAUUUGCCAAGGAUGUUUUCAUUAAUCAGGAACGAAAGUUAGGGGAUCGAAGACGAUCAGAUACCGUCGUAGUCUUAACCAUAAACUAUGCCGACUAGGGAUCGGACGAUGUUAAAAAUUGACUCGUUCGGCACCUUACGAGAAAUCAAAGUGCUUGGGCUCCAGGGGGAGUAUGGUCGCAAGGCUGAAACUUAAAGAAAUUGACGGAAGGGCACCACCAGGGGUGGAGCCUGCGGCUUAAUUUGACUCAACACGGGGAAACUCACCAGGUCCAGACACAAUGAGGAUUGACAGAUUGAGAGCUCUUUCUUGAUUUUGUGGGUGGUGGUGCAUGGCCGUUCUUAGUUGGUGGAGUGAUUUGUCUGCUUAAUUGCGAUAACGAACGAGACCUUAACCUGCUAACUAAGCCCGUAUUGCUUUGGCAGUACGCUGGCUUCUUAGAGGACUAUCGCUCAGUCCC
rnacentral:rRNA from 1 species